AUGGCUCAGGAUGAACGCUGGCGGCAGGCCUAACACAUGCAAGUCGAACGGUAACAGGAAGCAGCUUGCUGCUUGCUGACGAGUGGCGGACGGGUGAGUAAUGUCUGGGAAACUGCCCGAUGGAGGGGGAUAACUACUGGAAACGGUAGCUAAUACCGCAUAACGUCGCAAGACCAAAGAGGGGGACCUUCGGGCCUCUUGCCAUCGGAUGUGCCCAGAUGGGAUUAGCUUGUUGGUGAGGUAACGGCUCACCAAGGCGACGAUCCCUAGCUGGUCUGAGAGGAUGACCAGCCACACUGGAACUGAGACACGGUCCAGACUCCUACGGGAGGCAGCAGUGGGGAAUAUUGCACAAUGGGCGCAAGCCUGAUGCAGCCAAUGCCGCGUGUAUGAAGAAGGCCUUCGGGUUGUAAAGUACUUUCAGCGGGGAGGAAGGGGUUAAGGUUAAUAACCUUAGCCAUUGACGUUACCCGCAGAAGAAGCACCGGCUAACUCCGUGCCAGCCGCCGC
rnacentral:rRNA from 1 species